rnacentral:rRNA from 1 species
AGAGGACGUAUAGGGUGUGACGCCUGCCCGGUGCCGGAAGGUUAAUUGAUGGGGGUUAGCGAAAGCGAAGCUCUUGAUCGAAGCCCCGGUAAACGGCGGCCGUAACAAUAACGGUCCUAAGGUAGCGAAAUUCCUUGUCGGGUAAGUUCCGACCUGCACGAAUGGCGUAACGAUGGCGGCGCUGUCUCCACCCGAGACUCAGUGAAAUUGAAAUCGCUGUGAAGAUGCAGUGUACCCGCGGCAAGACGGAAAGACCCCGUGAACCUUUUACUAUAGCUUGACACUGGACUCUGACCUGACUUGUGUAGGAUAGGUGGGAGGCUUUGAAGCCGGGACGCCAGUUCUGGUGGAGCCAUCCUUGAAAUACCACCCUGGUCAUGUCGGGGGUUCUAACUUGGGCCCGUAAUCCGGGUUGAGGACAGUGUCUGGUGGGUAGUUUGACUGGGG